rnacentral:rRNA from 1 species
GGUCAGGUAGAGAAUACCAAGGCGCUUGAGAGAACUCGGGUGAAGGAACUAGGCAAAAUGGUGCCGUAACUUCGGGAGAAGGCACGCUGAUAUGUAGGUGAAGUCCCUCGCGGAUGGAGCUGAAAUCAGUCGAAGAUACCAGCUGGCUGCAACUGUUUAUUAAAAACACAGCACUGUGCAAACACGAAAGUGGACGUAUACGGUGUGACGCCUGCCCGGUGCCGGAAGGUUAAUUGAUGGGGUCAGCGCAAGCGAAGCUCUUGAUCGAAGCCCCGGUAAACGGCGGCCGUAACUAUAACGGUCCUAAGGUAGCGAAAUUCCUUGUCGGGUAAGUUCCGACCUGCACGAAUGGCGUAAUGAUGGCCAGGCUGUCUCCACCCGAGACUCAGUGAAAUUGAACUCGCUGUGAAGAUGCAGUGUACCCGCGGCAAGACGGAAAGACCCCGUGAACCUUUACUAUAGCUUGACACUGAACAUUGAGCCUUGAUGUGUAGGAUAGGUGGGAGGCUUAGAAGUGUGGACGCCAGUCUGCAUGGAGCCGACCUUGAAAUACCACCCUUUAAUGUUUGAUGUUCUAACGUUGACCCGUAAUCCGGGUUGCGGACAGUGUCUGGUGGGUAGUUUGACUGGGGCGGUCUCCUCCUAAAGAGUAACGGAGGAGCACGAAGGUUGGCUAAUCCUGGUCGGACAUCAGGAGGUUAGUGCAAUGGCAUAAGCCAGCUUGACUGCGAGCGUGACGGCGCGAGCAGGUGCGAAAGCAGGUCAUAGUGAUCCGGUGGUUCUGAAUGGAAGGGCCAUCGCUCAACGGAUAAAAGGUACUCCGGGGAUAACAGGCUGAUACCGCCCAAGAGUUCAUAUCGACGGCGGUGUUUGGCACCUCGAUGUCGGCUCAUCACAUCCUGGGGCUGAAGUAGGUCCCAAGGGUAUGGCUGUUCGCCAUUUAAAGUGGUACGCGAGCUGGGUUUAGAACGUCGUGAGACAGUUCGGUCCCUAUCUGCCGUGGGCGCUGGAGAACUGAGGGGGGCUGCUCCUAGUACGAGAGGACCGGAGUGGACGCAUCACUGGUGUUCGGGUUGUCAUGCCAAUGGCACUGCCCGGUAGCUAAAUGCGGAAGAGAUAAGUGCUGAAAGCAUCUAAGCACGAAACUUGCC